UACGUAGGGGGCUAGCGUUGUCCGGAAUCAUUGGGCGUAAAGAGCGUGUAGGCGGUCCGGUAAGUCCGCUGUGAAAGUCGGAGGCUCAACCCUCGAAUGCCGGUGGAUACUGUCGGGCUAGAGUGCGGAAGAGGCGAGUGGAAUUCCUGGUGUAGCGGUGAAAUGCGCAGAUAUCAGGAGGAACACCUAUUGCGAAGGCAGCUCGCUGGGACGUUACUGACGCUGAGACGCGAAAGCGUGGGGAGCAAACAGG
rnacentral:rRNA from 1 species